CAUGGGGCCUCGUGGGGACAGGAGAGGCGCGCCCAGCAUUAGGGAACGGAAAGGGAGACAGUGAGAACAGAGUCAAGGAGGAGUUCGCUCUGCAGCUGUGCUGCUGUGAGGACGGCAAAGGAAAACAAACGCGCACGCAAGCGGCAUCGGCGACGUACACGUACACGCACUCGCAAGUAGGCGCGUCCGGCUACGUAUACCUUCGCCAUGUCUUUCGCUAAAAACUCCGAAGCACCGACCCAGCCGUCACGCGCCGCGAGUUUUUCAUGCACGCAUGACUCUCUACACGGGCGCAAGCGGGCACGGUCGCCGCCUUACCCGCCGUUUGUCUCCGAGUACCGACCAUACAGCAGCGGCCAGCUGCAGGCGCAUCGUGUAAACCAACACACCGACUUGCACAAGCGCCAAUGGGAUAUGUACUACCGUAAUAACACGGUGAACGGGUUCAAGGAUCGGCACUACAUACUGCGGGAGUUUCGCGAGCUGCGCGCGGCGAUCGACGCUGCCGCGGCGACGGAGAAGACAUCCGCUACAGGGGCGGCGGCGCCAAGUAAGUCCGCCGCCUCAGCCUCGCCUGCGUGUUCGUUUUCGUGGAUGGAGGCUGGCUGUGGAGUGGGCAAUGCCAUGCUUCCUGUUUUCGCCCAGUACGGCCACCUUCCUCAGUGGCGAGCGCUUCUCGGGUUCGAUAUUUCGUCCGUCGCCAUUGGGCUUUUAGAGGAGAAGCGAGCACUGCUGCCACCGGCGCUAGCAGCCAAGGUGCACGUGUGCGUGUUGAAUCCGGUCGAGUCGGAGGUGGCAGACUGCUCCUUCUUCACGCCGACGGGAGGGGGCGCGACGACGUCAUCGUCCUCCGCGGACGUUGCAGGAGCAGGCGGUGCAGAUGGUGACAGCACUGCAGCGGUGGACAGGCCACCAGUCUGCGAGUUGCCGGAGUUUGUGUCCCUCAUCUUUGUUCUCUGUUCCAUUCCAGUCUCCUCGCACGCUGUCGUCUUGCGCCGCAUUGCCCGGUGCAUGGCGUGCCCUGGAGGCGUGCUGUACUUCCGCGACUACGCCGUUAGUGAUCACGCUGAGCGCCGGUUUCAGGCGUCGUCGUACCGGCGGCGCGGCGACGGUGGCGAAGGCGACGACACGGGCAAUACCAACACGUACGAGCGCACCAACGGGACACUCAGCCACUUCUUUUCCUUGGAAGAGGUUCGCAAACUCUUCGAGGGUGCCGGCUUUGAGGUGGUCGCGCUCGACAUCAUCGCUAACGAGGUGAUCAACCGCAAGACGAGUGUGUCGUUUGCGCGUCGAUUUGUGCAAGGCCGCUUCCGACUACGUAGUGGAAGCGCCACAGGGGAGCGGAGGGGAACGAAAAGCGGAAGCUGAGCCGCGGAGAGGCAGCUGCGCUGCGCUGCGGCGGCGAACACGGGCUGAUGUGAGGAUGCGGCAAAGAGGUGGAUGGGGGGUUAAAAGACUGGGACACUCGGUCGUUUUUCUCUCUUAUUAGGCGCCUGUGCAAGUCUUCUCGCCUCCUCUCCUUUCUCUCUACGCUUGUGCUCGUGCAAGCGGGGGGGGGCGGACAAAGCCGGUCGUCUGUCGCGUUUCUUUCCGGCAAUCUGCGCGAUCGAGCUGGCGUUUGCCGCUGCUUCUGAAGCGAACGGAUAGGUCACGCUCAUAAAAAAAAAACAAGCGAAAGGGGAGAGGUGCGUGUGGUUGUCAACGUGCACCACAUGCGCACGCGCACACGUGAUGGCAGCCGCCACAUGAUAUUUGGAGAUGAUAGAGCGCAGCCGUGGUAUCGGUGGUUUCCACAUUUUACACACUCUUCGACGGAGCAAGCUGCACUGCGCAGUGUUGCGGAGAGUCUUCCUCUGCGUUGCUGAUCGCCACACACACACGCACACGUGGCCAAGCUCAUCCUCUCUCCGCUUCCCCUCAUUCUCUAAGGAGAAG
rnacentral:misc_RNA from 1 species